rnacentral:rRNA from 1 species
CCAGACUCCUACGGGAGGCAGCAGUGGGGAAUAUUGCACAAUGGGGGAAACCCUGAUGCAGCGACGCCGCGUGAGUGAAGAAGUAUCUCGGUACGUAAAGCUCUAUCAGCAGGGAAGAAAAUGACGGUACCUGACCAAGAAGCCCCGGCUAACUACGUGCCAGCAGCCGCGGUAAUACGUAGGGGGCAAGCGUUAUCCGGAUUUACUGGGUGUAAAGGGAGCGUAGACGGCAGUGCAAGUCCGGAGUGAAAGCCCGGGGCUCAACCCUGGGACUGCUCUGGAAACUGUAAAGCUGGAGUGCGGGAGGGGCAGGCGGAAUUCCUGGUGUAGCGGUGAAAUGCGUAGAUAUCAGGAGGAACACCGGCGGCGAAGGCGGCCUGCUGGACCGUAACUGACGUUGAGGCUCGAAAGCGUGGGGAGCAAACAGGAUUAGAUACCCCCGUAC